AUGGGGCCUUGGCUGGUGGACAGGCCUCCAGGAGGGCUGCUCCUGGUGACAGCAGGACAUCGUCUCCAGCACAAGUCCUCAGGGUGCUCCUGGACUCAGGGGCAAUGUGGCUCGCAGGCACAGAAGCAAUUCCUUUGGAAUGAGAGCCCUGACCAAGGCUGGGCGUCAGAGAAGGGUUUCCAGCAAGUUGCGGGGAGGAAGGAAACCCGCCAGUGGGACAGACGAUAUUGUCUUUUGUUUUACUUUGUAGCGCUGAUUGUUGAAUGCUUUUUGAUUUCACAAGAAUUUCUGGACUUUGUCAACUUCCUUCAGAGAUUUUGCUGGGAAAAAAAAUGGAACCAUGCUCAGCGUUCUCCUUCCCCAACCAAACCACUCAAUGUUUUCAUUCAAAUCAGAAUUUUCCAUGGAUUGUAAUGCAUGUUCCUCAACCAGCAUCAACAUGGUAGGCACCGUAUAGCCCGCUAGAUAAUAUUUGUAUUCCAGCAGCAGGAACUCAGGUCAGAGCUCUCGUCUGCUGGACCUUGCAUAGAAGUGGCAACCUUGCUCUGAGGACUUCAUAAUCAGAAUAGAAAAGACAAAGGGCAAGGGAAGAGAAAAAAAAUACUAUAAAUAUGCUUUAACAGAUGGGGCGCUGAGGUGGCAGAAGAUGAAGUGAUUCAUUUGACGUCAUGAUCAUAGGAAAGCUAAGCCAAAGCGAAGAACUAAAUCCAUCCCUCUUGGAAGGCGCAGCACAUAUCUUUAACCACAGCCCAUCCUUUCCCUCUGGUGCUGUUGACUUCUGGUCAAGCCUUUGUUGUUCACUAGGGGAUGGCACUUGGCACAGGGCUAUUUGCUGAGGAUCAGUCUACUUAUGGGGAUGUUUCUUGGGCGAUCCACCGAGUAUGCCUGAUAACCACUUGUUUAUAUCAGUCCCUCCCGAGGACACCCGUCCCCUGGGUGAAGCUUUGCUUUAUGCUGGGUGUCAG
rnacentral:lncRNA from 1 species